GAUGAACGCUGGCGGCGUGCCUAAUACAUGCAAGUCGAGCGAACAGACGAGGAGCUUGCUCCUCUGACGUUAGCGGCGGACGGGUGAGUAACACGUGGAUAACCUACCUAUAAGACUGGGAUAACUUCGGGAAACCGGAUCUAAUACCGGAUAAUAUAUUGAACCGCAUGGUUCAAUAGUGAAAGACGGUUUUGCUGUCACUUAUAGAUGGAUCCGCGCCGCAUUAGCUAGUUGGUAAGGUAACGGCUUACCAAGGCAACGAUGCGUAGCCGACCUGAGAGGGUGAUCGGCCACACUGGAACUGAGACACGGUCCAGACUCCUACGGGAGGCAGCAGUAGGGAAUCUUCCGCAAUGGGCGAAAGCCUGACGGAGCAACGCCGCGUGAGUGAUGAAGGUCUUCGGAUCGUAAAACUCUGUUAUUAGGGAAGAACAAAUGUGUAAGUAACUAUGCACGUCUUGACGGUACCUACUCAGAAAGCAACGGCUAACUACGUG
rnacentral:rRNA from 1 species